GGCAUGUGGCUGCCAAGCGUUCAUAGCGACGUAGCUUU
rnacentral:rRNA from 1 species